rnacentral:lncRNA from 1 species
GUGAAGCUCGUCUUUGUUCCUUGGGCAAUAAUGGAUGAUACCAUAAAUGGCAUGUCACAGAACAGAAGUGAGGGCGACCUUUAUUAGAUUAAAUAUGUUUCCCCACCCAGUGCUCUGCAGAUCGUGGGAUUUCUAUCAGAAGACAGACAACAGGGACUGAACUGCAUGCAGCCAAGAGCUUCCCAAAAUUGUACUGGCAAAAAAAAAAAAAUCUCAACUUGGAAAACUGGGAGAUGUAUACACAGGGCAACUAGAAACCGAGAGAGAGAUUGUGGAGAGGUGGAAGUGGCAUGCUUAAAAGCGUAAGAAGAGAGGAUGCUGGAGAUGCCUGUGAAGGAGACCUUGGCCCUGCCUUCCUGAGGAAUGUUCUGGAACUCUCAUCCUCAGAGCACCAGAGUGUGCAAGUCAGUCAACAACCAUGCAGGCCCAGUGGUACAAGAGCAAACGGCAUGCCUGCAUGGAGUGUCCAGGCAGAUGGGCCCAAGACAGACCCGUGGCUUUCCACAGCUCAGAGUGGCUUAGGGACAUGGUAAUGCUUCCCAAAGGCUUCAUCCACGUGGACCAGAGAGCCAACAGGUGCCAGGCAAUGUCGGACAGCUUGAGGAGCAUGCAGCGGUGAGCUGCAUGGAUAGAUGGCCAAAGGCCAGAUAGGAAGAAGGCCACCUCCGGGACAGGUGCCAUCUACCAAGGAACAGAUGCUCACCCCCUCCCGCUAGCUGAUACCCCAACCUACCCAACCUGAAAGAAAAAGCAGAGAACUUCAGACCAAGACAAAUUUCUACCAUGACUGGGGAGCCAGGGCCCAAAGAAAAAGUAGGUUCAGGUCUAGAAAUGAAAAGUUAUUUCUUGCAGACAGCCAGAGUUUGAAUAAAAUCAGAAAGUCCCAUGUGAAGGCAGUCACUAGAGCUCACGGCUAAGAGUGUAGGUGAUCUGGAGUCUGGCUGACUCUGGUCUCUGUUCUGCUUCUGGGAAGCCAUCUCUGACCAGUUACUUACCUUCUCUCAGACUCUAUUUGCUCAUCUGUAAAACAGAGAUAAUAUUAAUAUCUCCUAAUAGGUUAUAUGUGUUCAAUAAAACAUUACAUGUAAACCCCCUGAGGGGUUGUUUCAUGCUAAGCAUUCAAUCAAUGCAGAAUAAUGGCAUCAUUAGAAAGGGAGGGAGUUGGGGAGGGGUCUUGGGGCAAGGGCGGGUGAGGGGUCUUUAUGGAGUUCCCUGUGGUAGAGAUUCAGGAGAACACUCUCUGAGAGCCAGCAUAUGGCAGGAACUUCCCAAGCCUGCUGAGGGUGCGGGAGAGUGGGCUUUACCUAUGCACUAAGCACAUGGUCCCCAUGUGAUCCAAGUCAACGGGAGCUAAUAUAACUUUAUGGUCAAGGGUGUGGAUUCUGGCAUCCGACUGCCUGGACUUACAUUACUUACUAGCUGGGCAAGUAUCCUUAGGUAAGUUACAUAACCUCUUUAUUUAUACCUUAGUUUUGUCAUCUGCACAAUGGGAAUAAUCGUUCCUGUUUCACAGAGCUGUUCCGAGACUUAAAUGAAUGAAUAUAUGCAAAGAGCUUUUCUAAGCUUUCCUUCCUGGCAUGCUGACUGACACACACUGUAAAUAUUAGCCAUUAUUAUUCUGAUUUUGCUCCCAUCCAAGUUUACACUUCAGCUGCUAGAAUCCCUCAGGAUCUCAAAUCUGAUUUAUCUUCCAACAAUAAAACCCAUCCAAACUCCAAGGCCAUUUUCCAGCAAGGGAGAGUCACAUCAAAAUAAGAACGCUAAAGCUACCAAUAUUCAAAUGAAGAUAGAGAAUGGGGCCCUCCUCCUCCAUGCAACCCUGGAAUAACUCUCACUUGUGCGUCAGAGGGGAGCAAAAACAUCAGCAAGAGGGCCCAUUACCGAAAGUGAGGGACUUACAGCAUCAGGGAAACCUCACUGACAUAAGACAUGAAUCAAUCCAAGAAGGAACAAAAGGGCAGCUUGUUUGCAGAAGAUAUUCCAUGCUUCUUAUAUAUUUUGGAUAUAAACCUCUGUUAAUGGAAAAACCAAACUCUGUAAAAUAUUUUAAAGAGGUUUAUUCUGAGCCAAUAUGAGUGACCAUGCCAAGGGAACAGAGUCUUAAGAGGUUUUGCGAAAGUGUGUCUACAGCAGUUAUGUUACAAUUUGGUUUUAUACAUUUUAGGUAUGUAUAGGUUUACAUCGGUUUUAUACAUUUAUACAUUUGCAAAUAUUUUCUCCCAUUCAAUAGGUUGUCUCUUCGUUCUGUUGACUGUUUCCUUUGCUGUACAGAGACUUUUUAGGUUAAUCCUAUUUGUCUGUUUUCACUUUUGUUGCCCCUAUUUUUGGGGUCAUAGAUCAAAAAAUCAUUGCUCUGACCAGUGUCAUGGAGCCAUUGCCCUAUGUUUUCUUCCAGUAGUUUUAUAGUUUCAGGUCUUACAUAAAGUCUUUAAUCCACUUUAAAUUAUGUUUUUGUAUAUGGUGUGAGAUAAUGGUCUAAUUUGAUUCUCCCGC